AUGGAUGGAGAGAGAGAGAGUUCGGUUUGGGUUAUGGAUGGAGAGAGAGAGAGUACGGUUUGGGUUAUGGAUGGAGAGAGAGAGAGUACAGUUUGGGUUAUGGAUGGAGAGAGAGUACGGUUUGGGUUAUGGAUGGAGAGAGUACAAGUACAAGAGUACAGUUUGGGUUAUGGAUGGAGAGAGAGAGUAUGGUUUGGGUUAUGGAUGGAGAGAGAGAGAGUAGAGUACAGUUUGGGUUAUGGAUGGAGAGAGAGAGUACGGUUUGGGUUAUGGAUAGAGAGAGAGAGAGUACGGUUUGGGUUAUGGAUGAGAGAGAGAGUACGGUUUGGGUUAUGGAUGGAGAGAGAGAGUACGGUUUGGG
ensembl:lncRNA